rnacentral:lncRNA from 1 species
GAGUAGUGUAAAAUGUGCAGCAACACUUUGCAUGAAAAUACUUUAAGAGAUUGGAAGCUCCUAAUUUGAGUUCGUUUGUGCAAAACUGCAGAUAUGCAGCUUAUUGUUUAUUAAGACCGCUUUGACGUUUCCCUCAGCUCAGUGAAAACAGCUGGUUACCCUAAAGCCCUACCUGAUGUCCUUGACAGACAUCUCAUUGGAGAAAGUGAUGACACUGGCUUUGGAGGAAGCCUUAUGGAAUGGCCCUCAUGGACCUAGGAACCUUCUCUUUGAAAGACAAUCAUCAAAAAAUAUAGCACUCUUAUCUCCCAGUUUCUGUGAGAGCCCAACCAUGGCCAAUUUGCAGAACUACCUCCCAUGGUAAAGGUAAGAAUUUAAUUUGCCUUUGGUUAAAUCCAAUUAACUAAUAUAGUGAAUCAUCUCAAUUAUUAGGUGAAUUUAGAAUGAACUGUGUAUGACAGUGGUGCUGUCAAGUCCUCUUACUUGAAUAAUAGUUAUUAUUUUUUACCUAGCAUGUAUAGAAGGGAUUGUAUCUGCUUGGCUGAAUAAAACGAUGAGAUUUCUUUCGGCCUUUGCAAUCUCUUAGUGGGUUACCUAUAAGGCUCAUCAUGUUCUGGCUUGAUACUUACCAAAAAAUAAAAUUAUUUUCUCUCACUUCUACUUUUGUGAAGACAUUAAUCUGGCUUGGCAGAAGAUUUUGUUUUUAAUAUUUCCCCAACAAAGGUGAACACAAAUAUCAUCCAUUCAUUAAACCAUUCAUAUUUUUAAAAAUAUUAUUUAAAAAUUUCAACAGCUUUUUUUUUUUUUUUUUUUUUUUUUGCUCUUUAGGCCACACCUGAAGCAUAUGGAAGUUCCCAGGCUAGGGGCUGAAUCAGAGCUACAUCUGCCAGCCUACACCAAUGCCGGAUCUUUAACCCACUGGUCGAGGCCAGGAAUUGAACCCACAUCCUCAUGGUUCCUAGUUGGGUUCAUUUACCACUGAGCCAUGAAGGGGACGCCAUUAACAACUAUUUAAAAAUAAAUAAAAAUCUGUUUAUAUAUGUCUUAGGUGGAAUCAUUUGAUACUAUUGUUUUAUAAAUAAAAAACUGUAGAAUAUUAGUAGCUUUAUGUGUUAUAACCUAAAUUAUGUGCAUUUUGAGAAAUAUGUGGAAGAAUCUAUAGCAAUCUGUGAAUGUCAGCUAAUUAGUUGGGUGAGAGAUUAUUAUAUUCUCUUUUAUAUAUCUUUCCUCAUAUUUUUAACUGGUUGCAGUUAGUUUGUAUUAUUGUUUUUUUAUUUUACAAAAUAUAAAUUGAUUUUAAAAAGAUGCUAAUUUAGUUGCAACAUAAACAUCAUUAAUCCAGGCAGGGACAAUUCCACUUUUACUUUUUUUAAAUGUCUAGCUCCUAGCAUAGGGCUACAUAACUAUUUGUAAUAGGAAAAAAAAUGAAACAAUAUAUAAAAAGAUUCUUGAGGGAAUAGUAAGACCUAAGAAAUUAAACUGAAAUAGUUGACAGGUGUUUGGCGGUUAAAAAAAAAAAAAAAAGCUUGAAACACAAAAACAAAAAAAAUCAGAAGCAGUGUAAAUAAAUAAAUACCUUUUUGGAAAAGUUUGGCCAAUAAUAGUUGUAAAGUAACCAAAAUAUUGUUCAGAAGAGAUCUUUUCAUAGUUUUGAGUUCUCAGAGUGUAUCUGCAUGCUUAUUAGCAUCAUUAUUGGUGACACAGAGGACAAAUGUAGAGAAGGAGACAGGGUAACUAAAAGCUAGAGAUGACUAAGAAAGCAGAAGGAGGUGCUGGUCUUGAACUGGUCAUUCAAAGUUCCUUUGCUGUAAUGAAAAAAGGAAGGAAAGGUUGCAGAAGCAGUUCUCUGUGUAGAUCUCUUGGAGAGUUGGGAGGGCCUUGGCUGAUGUUGACUUUGCUGUCUCUGUGAGGCAUGGAUGCACCUGUUUUUAAUGUUGUGAUGUCUCUUGCUGAAUCCAGUAUCUGAACAAACAGAAGUGGUACCUUACAUGUUUUCAAAGCUAACUUUCGGUGGCCAUUUGUCUGGCCAGCUACUAAUUCUGAAGAAUGGUCAUUGUGCCUAAGUGCCUAAGACAGAUGGUUUUUCAUCCUUAGUUACAUAUUGCCAAAUAAACUCUCACCGUAUGGACAACCUUGGAGUUGGUCACAGUUUAUCAGCCCAUUUUCUCUUUCCUCUUGGUGAGUUCCUAUUUAGGGUCCUUCAUUCCUUUCUUUAGUCUGGACCACCAAAGGACUUUAAAAGAAGAGAAUGAAUUCUGGCUCCUUUUUCUUCCAGAGGCUCUGUAUCAAUUGGGGUCUGGUCAGGAAAUGAGAAAUAACUUCAGGUAUUUCAAAACAAAUGCCUUAAUAAAGGUGGCUUGAAAAAAAAAAUUAGGAGGCCUGGACUAGAAAAGAUUAGGGAGGUCAUUCUACCAUUUAUGAAAUCAGAAAACGCUCAAAUUAUUGGAAACCACUGCCAUUGAGUUCACUGCUCACUGUAUACUAAAGCAGGUGAUUUUUUUACAGGACAUUGGGAAACUGCUGGAAAAACCUUGAUGCUAAAGUCUUAGUAAUUGCCCCUGACAGACAUGAGAAUAAUAAUUGCUUUUGCUUUUUAUAUUCCUUCCAAAUUUACACUGGUUCCUGUCAUUGACAGAAUCUAACCUAGGGCCAUAAUGACUGGAAUUCUUGAAAAUGUAAUUCCCAGGUUUCCAGCUCCUUUGAUAAAAAUGAACAUAGAAGGGGAAAAAUGGGCUGAGUAGUGCACACAAUUCCACACAAUACAAAUUUCUCAGCCAAAUUACCCACAUUCUUUCCCAGAGAACAAGUCUCACUUGACUUACUCUAAGCAAUGCUUAGUAAGACAGUACUAAUUCAAGAGAAAGUCUAAUAGAAACUUAUGCCAGAAAGUUGGAAGCUAGUCCAGCAUUAAAGGGCUAGGUUGAUUUGCCUCUAGGCUCUUAGCAGUAGCCCCAAGGGCAUAGCACAUUAGUGUAAGAGUCAUUUGUAGGGUUGCCAAGCAGAAACUCAGUAAUAUUUCUUUGCUUCUGCUGACUCCCACCAAGUUGUUUGAAAGACAAAAUAGGGGGAAAGUAGUACCAUUUUUAAAGCAUCACUGACCAGUUGUAUUCAAAGUUAUACUUAUCAAUCUAUGAAGGUAGCUCUGUUGCAUGUAAUAAUAAAGAUGAUUUGUAAGGAAGUUUGAGAUAAAAAAAAUAUAUAGAUGAGAUUGCUUUGAAGAUUUUAACUUAAAGCCAUCCUGUGAACUAACAAUUGUUAAAAAAAAAAAAAAAA